rnacentral:rRNA from 1 species
UACGUAGGGACCGAGCGUUGUCCGGAAUCAUUGGGCGUAAAGAGCGUGUAGGCGGUCCGGUAAGUCCGCUGUGAAAGUCGGGGGCUCAACCCUCGAAUGCCGGUGGAUACUGUCGGGCUAGAGUGCGGAAGAGGCGAGUGGAAUUCCUGGUGUAGCGGUGAAAUGCGCAGAUAUCAGGAGGAACACCUAUUGCGAAGGCAGCUCGCUGGGACGUAACUGACGCUGAGACGCGAAAGCGUGGGGAGCAAACAGG